rnacentral:rRNA from 1 species
UACGUAGGUGGCAAGCGUUAUCCGGAUUUAUUGGGCGUAAAGGGAACGCAGGCGGUCUUUUAAGUCUGAUGUGAAAGCCUUCGGCUUAACCGGAGCAGUGCAUUGGAAACUGGGAGACUUGAGUGCAGGAGAGGAGAGUGGAACUCCAUGUGUAGCGGUGAAAUGCGUAGAUAUAUGGAAGAACACCAGUGGCGAAAGCGGCUCUCUGGUCUGUAACUGACGCUGAGGUUCGAAAGCGUGGGUAGCAAACGGG